rnacentral:lncRNA from 1 species
GAAAAACAAGGCCAAAAAGAUGUAUAGAAAAGACAAAUAAAGCUCAAUCUUAUUGAGCUUGUGCUUGAACUCCUAGAUAUAAAUGUCAUGCUCUCGAUCCCAUUUUUUAUACUCUUUUGCUUCAUCUUGUCGUGACUGUAGAGCAUUUGGAAAUUGCAUUUUUGUUACUAUCUGGAAAACAAUGGAAAAAAAUUUGGCGUGCUAAGCACUUACCUAUGCAAAUGUAGCGAAGUGUCCUUGUACUUCGGCGGGGUCUCUUGAAAUAAGCCAAACUAUGUCAUAACUCAUUGUGGUUGAUGAAACUCAACAACAUAGUAACAAAUCAACGGGCAA